CGGGAGGCGGGGGCGCGCGCGGCGUCGUCCGGCGGUGACCUGGUUGGCUGCGCCGGAAGUGGGCGCGCGCGGGGCUCCCAGGUCUCGGCCAUGGCUCACAGGCCGAAAAGGACCUUCCGGCAGCGUCGAGCCGACUCCAGUGACAGCGACAGCGCGGAGGAGCCGUCGGUUGAACCCGGGGCGCCGGGGGAGCAGGCAGUCCCGGGCCCUGCGGAGGAAGGGCCGCCCCCUGAAGGAGGCAGCGCGGAGGCAGCAGCAGAAAGGCCCCUUCGCGUCCGGGGCCCUCGGGGCCGGGGCCGGGGCCUGGUCUGGGCCACUUCUCGGCGCGCGGCCCCCGGAGCUGCUCCCCGAGCGGACGGCGGCUCGGGCGCCCCAGAAUGCAGAACAGUUGAUCUUUCAACAGAUGAAGAGGAUGGAACAUACGAUGCCUCAGAAACUAAGGAUGAUCAGAGUUCAUCUUCCAACAGCUCUAGCUCUCUGGAAGAAGAAUUUUCAUCAAUAGUAAAUAUCCCUGAUGCAGCUUUUAUUCAGGCAGCCCGCAGAAAACGUGAAUUGGCCAGGGCCCAAGAGGACUAUAUUUCUUUGGAUGUAAAACAUAUUUCUACCAUUGCUGAUACGAAGAAAGAUAGUGAUGAAGAUCCUGAGAGUGAGCCCGAUGACCAUGAAAGAAGAAUACCAUUUACCCUAAAGCCUCAAACACUUAGACAAAGAAUGGCUGAAGAAACAACAACCGGAAAUGAAACAAGUGAAGAAAGUCAGGAAGAUGAAAAUCAAGAUAUUUGGGAACAGCAGCAAAUGAGGAAAGCAGUUAAAAUCAUAAAGGGAAGAAACAUAGAUCUUUCUCACAGUAGUGAAUUUCAAACAGUGAAGAAGUUCGAUACUUCCAUUUCAUUUCCACCAGUAAAUUUAGAAAUUAUAAAGAAGCAAUUAAAUAGUAGAUUAACAUUACUACAGGAUACUCACCGCUCACAUCAGAGGGAAUAUGAAAAAUAUGUUGAAGAUGUCAAGAGCUCAAAGAAUGCCAUCCAGAACCUAGAAAAUUCAUCAAAUCAAGCUCUAAAUUUUAAAUUCUAUAAAAGCAUGAAAAUAUAUGUGGACAAUUUAAUUGACUGUCUUAAUGAAAAGAUUAUCAACAUCCAAGAAAUAGAAUCAUCCAUGCAUGCACUCCUUUUAAAACAAGCCAUGACCUUUAUGAAACGCAGGCAAGAUGAAUUAAAACAUGAAUCAACGUAUUUACAACAGUUAUCACGCAAAGCUGAGACAUCAACAAAUGGAAGCUUGGCUAUAGAUGAAAAAACUCAAUGGAUUUUAGAAGAAAUUGAAUCUCGAAGGGCACAAAGAAGACAAGCAAGGGCACUUUCUGGGAAUUGUGAUCAUCAGGAAGGGACAUCUAGUGAUGAUGAACUAUCUUCAGCAGACAUGGCUGACUUCCAAAAAAGUCAAGAUGACAUUUUACAGGAUCAUAAGAAGAUCUUUGAAGAUGUGCAUGAUGAUUUUUGUAAUAUCCAGAAUAUUUUGUUAAAAUUUCAACAAUGGCGAGAAAAGUUUCCUGAUUCUUACUAUGAAGCUUUCAUUGGUUUAUGCAUACCAAAGCUUUUAAAUCCCCUAAUACGAGUUCAGUUGAUUGAUUGGAAUCCUCUUAAGUUUGAUUCCAUAGGUUUAAAACAGAUGCCAUGGUUCACAUCUAUAGAAAAAUUUAUAGAUAAUAGUAUGGAAGAUUCAAAGAAGGAAGAUAGUUCUGAUAAGAAAAUCUUGUCUUCUGUCAUCAACAAAACAAUUAUUCCACGACUUAUAGACUUUGUAGAAUUCAUAUGGGAUCCUUUGUCAACCUCACAGACAACAAGUUUAAUAGCUCACUGCAGGAUGAUUCUUGAAGAACAUUCCACUUGUGAGAAUGAAGUUAGUAAAGGCAAACAGGACUUACUUAAAUCCAUUGUUUCAAGAAUGAAGAAAGCAAUAGAAGAUGAUGUUUACAUUCCUCUGUAUCCAAAAAGUGCUGUAGAAAACAAAACAUCACCACAUUCAAAGUUCCAAGAAAGACAAUUCUGGUCAGCUCUAAAGGUGUGGCCAGCGGGCCCUGACUCUGGCCCUGUCCACGGUGCUGGAGAUGCUCAUCACACACUGGCCUCUCACAAAAACCCUUGCUCGACACUGAGCCAGGAGGCAGCCCGCGGAUGAAGCCACGGUUGGGCAGGCCAGGCUUCCUGCGUGUCCUUAACUGGCCCUGUGUGAGAUUGGGCACCACCGAGGAGCAGCUCUUGUUCGGAGGACGCACACGGUGCCACAUCAAGACUGUGAAGAAGAGAAACAUUUUGUGUUGUUUGGAUUUAAAUCUGUUGGAUGGUGACGUUUACUGCGAUGUGCACAUUGACUCACGAAUGGGUGGUGUAAACAGUAGAUGACAAGCAGUAUAUUCUAAAACGGGAGACGAAGAGGAAACCAUUUAAGUGAUCCACACAGCAUAAAGAUGAGUAAUGUUUCAUAAAAUGUGUUUCCCUUAUCUAUGUGGGUGUUCUGAGUCACAGUGUAAAAUGUUCUUAGUGAGGAUUAUUUUUUUAAAAAUAUCAAACACUGGAAACUCAGUUAUGGGUAGACACUAGGAAGAAAACCAAACCCAGAGGUUCUGAAGCUUUCAGACCACAGCAGACCUAUACCCCACACAGAGAACAGUAGGUGAAUUUACACAUGUUCAUAGCUUCAGUGAGCAAAUAAAAUAACUACCACGUCAUCUACGUUAUGGCAGAGAUCACAAACUAAUACCCCAGAGAUAUUUUGGGUUUGGUUCCAGACCACUGGCUGCAUCUCUUGACAAGUUCCUCCCAGCCACAGUGAUGGUCUGGAGAGCCACAAAUGCAGCCUUUUAUUUGAUGCUCCUCUGCCUGUAAUAAUGUCCAUAAAUGUCAUAAAGGGGGUAUCACAAUAAAGCAAAUCAUAAUCUUUUUGCUUGUGGAGGGUCUGGUCUUCAAUUCAUAAAAAAUGCAACAUUUGUGAAAUGCAGUAAGACAAGGAAUUGGCUAACCCUGGGUGGGGUCCUCAAGGCCCCAGAAGCCAAAACGUCAGAACACAGAGCAAAAGGCUUGGUUAAUACACAUGGCCAUACAGAGACGGGGCAGGCCUGAUGGGGGCCAUGGGCUGGAUUGCCAAUGAAUGGGCUAAGAAAACAAAGGCAAUGUCGAGUAUCUAAGGUGUGAGUAUCGUGAAAAAUAAAGGCUUUGUAGUGAAUGUACUACUCCAUGAAGCUUCUGUGAUCCUUGCCAGUAAACAGUGAGGAAAGAAAUAGUAAUUUAUGCCAGUAAGAAACAACCUAUGCCCGCUUACAUUUAAGAAAGACCUUUCCCUAUUCUGCUGAUAUAAUCCGUUCAUUCUGUCCCUGUAAGGCCCAGACCAUGAUCACUCCCUCUCCUGCUCGUUCUUAUCUUUACUUAGAAGGGUAAUAGCCAGAGAACUUGGAAUUCUAAAGUAGCUAUCAACUUGAUUAUAGCUUCGCAAGCCCUCUAGUAAAAUAUCAGUGUGAUCUUUCAUCUCUUCAUUCUAACCAAAGCUAAAUUAAAGUUUUGAAGCUCAUAACCUAAUCAUAGUGUUGGGAAUUCCUCGAGGGCACAGAUAGUUAUUUCCCUCACAUGCUACUUCCUGCCUCACAUCCUUUCACUGUCUGUGUGUUGCAGUCAGGAGAAAACCCCACGUCCUGUCUGUGGCCCUGCGCCAUCCGGAUCUGCGCUUGCCCUCGCCUGCUGCUCUGGGUGCAUCUCUUGACAAGUUCCUCCUUCUCAGUAGCCACAGUGAUGGUCCGGAGAGCCACAAAUGCGGCCUUUUAUUUGAUGCUCCUCUGCCUGCAAUAAUGUCCAUCUCACUCCUCAUUCUUGAGGUCUUACCCGUCUCAUCUAAAUCUUAUCCAUCUCCUCUGCAAGUCUUUCUCAUAGCUGCCUCUUCUCUUCCUUCACAACUUGCUUCGGUACAAUUAUCAUUGUAAUACCCUUUUAUUUAUUUAUUUUUUAUUGAUUUUAGAGAGGAUAGGAGAGGGAGAGAGAGAGAGAGAAACAUCAAUGAUGAGAAUCAUUGAUCAGCUGCCUCCUGCAUACCCCCUACUGGGGACCAAGCUUGCAUGUGACCUCCUAGUUCAUAGGUCAACACUAAACCACUGAGCCACACUGGCUGGGCUGUAAUACCCUUCUAAUGUGUCCGUCUUCCAUUAGGUCCCAGGUCCUAGAGGGCUAAGGAUCUGGUAUACGGUAGUCACUCAAUAAAUAUUCACUGAGUGAAUGAAUAAAUGAGUGAAAGAAUGAGUGAGUGAGCAAAAGCAAAUGCCUAGCAGCUUGAGGAGCAAGGAGAAGCCUGGGUGCAGGGUAGGCGUGAUCCCUGUGCUGUGGGUACGGGGGUCACUCCCAGUGGCUUUUAAAUCCUCCUUCACAUCUGAGAGAUUAUGAAGCAGCAGCUCGGAGAAAAGUGUGUCAUGCGGACGCUGGGAGAGAAUUCUCAGGGAGGGAGGGAAUGAGAGAGAACUUUAGGGCACUUAAAGGAUGAUCCAAAGGGUACAUAUGGGGGUGAGCCAGGCCCCCCCAUGAUGCUCUGUGACUGCAUGAGACACACAGUCCUUACUUAGUGUGAUCUGACUACAAUCCUAAUACACCCUUUAGACACUCUCCUCAGCAGCAACCUCUUGUCACAGUUGCUUCACUGUCACCCAAGCACCAGUUGAUGGCUUUCCUAAUAUGCAUAAUCGCUCCAUUAUUCUGGAUAUUAUGCGCAAGGGAGGAGUAUCCACACAGUGGGCAGAUUUAGUGUCCCUCCUUUUUUCUGUUUUAUUUUCAAUAUGUUCUAUAUUCUAUACUAUGUGUGUGCUCACUGGGCAACAGAAUAAGAAGUGACGCACAGUUCACACUCAGCUCUCCUUUUCACUGCGAGCUCUUUGUGUAGCGUUGCCUGGACAGCUGUAGGGUGGUGUCAAGCACGUGGGCUCCAGAGCGAUGGUGCUGGGGUUUAUAUGUUGUGCUUUGUGACCCUGGGCAUCUCACUUACCUUCUCUGAGCCUCGAUUUUCUCACGUAAAAAAUGGGGAUAAUAAGAGCACCCAUCUCCUAUAGUUGUUAUGAAGAAUUAAUAAGCAAAUAGAUAUACAAAGCUCAGAAUGGCGUCUGCAGCAUAGUAAGUAACAAGAGUAAAUGCUAGCUAUCAUUACAAUUUGUAUCUGAA